rnacentral:rRNA from 1 species
GAUGAACGCUGGCGGCGUGCCUAAUACAUGCAAGUCGAGCGAACAGACGAGGAGCUUGCUCCUCUGACGUUAGCGGCGGACGGGUGAGUAACACGUGGAUAACCUACCUAUAAGACUGGGAUAACUUCGGGAAACCGGAGCUAAUACCGGAUAAUAUAUUGAACCGCAUGGUUCAAUAGUGAAAGACGGUUUUGCUGUCACUUAUAGAUGGAUCCGCGCCGCAUUAGCUAGUUGGUAAGGUAACGGCUUACCAAGGCAACGAUGCGUAGCCGACCUGAGAGGAGGAGCAGCGACAGUGGAACUGAGGCGCGGUCCAGACUCAUACGGGAGGCAGCAGGGGGGAAUAUUGGACAAGGGGCGAAGGCCUGAUCCCGCUAUGCCGCGGGAGUGAAAAAGGUCUUAGGAUUUUAAAGCACUUUAAGUAGGGAGGAACGGCAUGAAGCGGAUACCUUGCUGGCGGGCCGUUACCAACAGAAAAAGCCCCGGCUAACCUCGUA